rnacentral:rRNA from 1 species
UGAGUACGAGAUGCUACGGCAUCGAAGCAGUCUAUGUCAUACUUCCAAGAAAAGCUUGCAAUGUCAUAAACAAAUAAUGCCUGUACCAUAACCGACACAGGUGGGUAGGUAGAGUAUACUAAGGGGCGCGAGAUAACUCUCUCUAAGGAACUCGGCAAAAUGACUCCGUAACUUCGGGAGAAGGAGUGCCUUAUUUUUAUAAGGUUGCAAUAACAAGAUCCAAGCAACUGUUUACCAAAAACACAGGUCUCCGCUAAGUCGUAAGACGAUGUAUGGGGGCUGACGCCUGCCCAGUGCCAGAAGGUUAAAGAAGUUGGUUAGCAUUAGCGAAGCUGAUAACUGAAGCCCUGGUGAACGGCGGCCGUAACAAUAACGGUCCUAAGGUAGCGAAAUUCCUUGUCGGGUAAGUUCCGACCCGCACGAAAGGCGUAAUGAUUUGGAUACUGUCUCGGAGAGGGGCUCGGUGAAAUAGACUUGUCUGUGAAGAUGCGGACUACCUGCACCUGGACAGAAAGACCCUAUGAAGCUUUACUGUAACUUGAGAUUGAAAUUGGACUUUAUCUGCGCAGUAUAGGUGGGAGACGUUGAAAAUAUUCUUGCGGGAAUAUUGGAGUCAUCAGUGAGACACCACUCUUAUAAUGUUAGAUUUCUAACUUUGUAUCAUUAUCUGGUCAAAGAACAGUUUCAGGCGGGCAGUUUGACUGGGGCGGUCGCCUCCCAAACGGUAACGGAGGCGCACAAAGGUUUCCUCUGAACGUGUAGAAAUCGUAUCUAGAGUGUAAAGGCAUAAGGAAGCUUGACUGUGAGACCUACAAGUCGAGCAGGGACGAAAGUCGGUCUUAGUGAUCUGACGGUGCUGAGUGGAAAGGCCGUCACUCAACGGAUAAAAGUUACUCUAAGGAUAACAGGCUGAUCUCCCCCAAGAGUUCACACCGACGGGGAGGUUUGGCCCCUCGAUGUCGGCUCAUCGCAUCCUGGGGCGGUAGUACGUCCCAAGGGUUGGGCUGUUCGCCCAUGAAAGCGGUACGCGAGCUGGGUUCAGAACGUCGUGAGACAGUUCGGUCCAUAUCCGGUGUAGGCGUUAGAAUAUUGAGAGGAGCCUUCUUUAGUACGAGAGGACCGAGAAGGACAUACCUCUGGUGUACCAGUUAUCGUGCCAACGGUAAACGCUGGGUAGCCAUGUAUGGAGAGGAUAACCGCUGAAAGCAUCUAAGUGGGAAGCCCACCUCAAGAUAAG